AUCGUUCCCAGCCCCGGGCCGGCGAGAUAGCGCGGCUGGGAAUCCCCAAAGACCCGUCCGUCAAACGGCCCCUCCCCGCCAAUUAGGAGAGUAAACAUGGGCUGCGCGGGAGGAGGGGGCGGCCAACUCCUGGUGUUACUGGAGCUGUCAACACCAGCAACUGGAGCUCGAACAGCGAGGAACACAAAAUUAAACACAAAGAGAGACAUCAACCCAUUCUUCUGGAUUCCAGAGGGCUUGAUCACAGGCUCAUCCCUGGCCUGAAUCUGUUUGCCAUCUCUCAGAAGCAUCUUGUGGAGCUCACACCAGCAGCACUGAAAUAUGCCACACAGCUAACGGCCAGCCAAUCAGCACGGGAGACUCCAGUGCUAUUGUGAGCCCUGGGCAGCUGACAUCACUGUAACAGUUCCAUCCUACACAGUGUGAGCCCUCUGACAUCUGCUGAUGGUUUGAAGUCAACCUGAUCAGGAAGAGACACUCGCAAUCUGCUUCCCUCAAAUGCCCCAUCGCCUACACCGACGGAACCCAGCAUCCUAGCACCCUAAGGUAGCACGAUAAGUGCACGGUAGCUGUACCACGCACUGAUAUCCCUGUCAAAGAAAACCACGUGAAGGAUCUUGAUUAACGUUCAGCAACCUUUGGUGGUCAAAGUGCCUGAACUCUGUCGAACGUCCGAGUUCAGCCCCCAGUCCCCAGCAGCUGCCUUGCUUGAAAGAUUGUGAAACGAAUUCAGGGAGAGGGCUUUAUUUCUCUUGUCUUGGCACGCCCCCCCCCUCCCCGCCCCCUGAUGGGCUCUUCUCUGCCUCCAUCUCUGGAACCAAGGUUCCCCUGAGCAGAUGUAUGACUUCGGUGGGCAGCUGAGUGAUUGCUGUGCCCAGCGCCCAGUCCUGUGUGCUGGCAGUGCGCGGAGAGAAGGGCACCACUGGGGUGAACACUGGGCAAAGCCUGUUAGGGAAUUGGAAUAGCAUGGAGGUGGGCAUGGGAAUCACACGGUAAACUGUCAAAAGGCCAAGCAGAUUUACCAUGGUAAUCUGUAUACCAGGCCCUACACCAGACCUUGGGCAGGUGUUAAGCCCUGAAGGGUAAGCUAGUCUGGGAGUCUUAUCACUAUAAGCAACUCAUUACAGAAAAC
rnacentral:lncRNA from 1 species